UGUGUCCGUUCUCAAACUCGAACAUAGGGAUUUAACAUGGAGUUGAACGUUUUUGCGGAUUUCUGCUCGCCAACUUAUUCUACAGAAAAGCGGUGUUAGUUUGCGAAGAGUUCGAGAUUUGUUUGCCGUUGCGUUUAAUACGAGACCGAUACCAUCAGCAAGUACCAUACAAAAAUAUGUAGAAAAAUUUGAAAAUCAGGCAAAUAUUUCAGUAGAAUCAGAAAGUAGGGGAGGUGAGCAUUACAAAUUUUAUUUUAAAACAUGUUCUAAAAUGACAUCAUAUCAUAGGAUAUCGACAAGGGGAUGACCGCACAGAAGAGCAAGUUUUGGCGAUGAUAAAUGCAGACCCAACGUACAGUUUGAGGCAAAUUUCCCAUGAAACUGGUUUAUGUAAGUCGCGGGUAUGGAUGAUAUUAAAGAAAUACAAAUAUCACCCUUAUAAACCACAAUGUCAUCAAGAGAUUUUUUAUGUUGACGAAGAAAGUAGGAGUGCAUUUUGUUAUGAGAUACAAGAGCGCGCUAACAACGAUCGCCGCUUUCUAUCGUCGAUAUGCUUCACAGACGAGUGUACCUUUACCCUCAAUAAUGAACCCAAUGUUCAAAACACACGUCAUUGGGCUCAGGAAAACCCUAGGCUUAAUAUUUCAACCAGAACUCAGUAUCCUCAAAAAAUUAAUAUCUGGGCUGGGAUUUUUAAUCAUAAUAUUAUCGGCCCAUUUGAAAUUGAAGGAAACUUAAAUUCAGAAACCUAUUUAGAUCUUUUGGUAACAAAGGUAGGACCCGCAUUGGAAGACGUUGCAAGAGAAAAUCAGGAGAUCUGGUUCCAACAAGACGGCUGUCCUGCGCAUUUUGGUUUAAACGUUAGACAUUUUUUAAAUAAUUCAUUUCCAAAUCAUUGGAUUGGUAGAAGUGGUACCAUAAAUUGGCCAGCCAGAUCUCCAGAUUUGGCACCUUGCGACUUCUUCUUGUGGGGACACCUUAAAAGUAAAAUUUAUAAAAGACGCCACCCAGAUAUUAAUUCUUUGAGAGAAGCUAUAGUUACUGAAUGCGCGUUAAUUACUAACAGGGAGUUAGCGAAUGUGCGAAAUAGUUUUUACAACCGACUGGGAUAUUGCUUAGCUCAAAACGGGGGGUUAUUUGAAUAUUUACUUUAAUUUGUUUUUCCUUACUAGUAUUUUUGUGUAUUUUUAAUAAAAAUCGUUCGAAGCC